UCACGCCUGCGGGGGGCAGCAGUGGGGGAUAUUGCACAAUGGGGGCAACCCUGAUGCAGCGACGCCGCGUGAGCGAUGGAGUACUUCGGUAUGUAAAGCUCUGUCAGCAGGGAAGAGAAUGACGGUACCUGACCAAGAAGCCCCGGCUAAAUACGUGCCAGCAGCCGCGGUAAUACGUAUGGGGCAAGCGUUAUCCGGAUUUACUGGGUGUAAAGGGUGCGUAGGCGGCUUGGCAAGUCAGUAGUGAAAUCCAUGGGCUUAACCCAUGAACUGCUAUUGAAACUGUCGAGCUUGAGUGAAGUAGA
rnacentral:rRNA from 1 species